UGAGAAAAAAAUCAGAGCUCCUCUCUCUCGCUCGCUUCCCGAUCCCAGCCGCCAGGAGACACCCCACACCGCGCGGCGCUCGAUCCGGUGCCGCGCCGAUCUGUCGGCGGGUGCGGCGUUUUGCUCCGGUUGCGACGUCGUCUUACUGAUCCAGAGAAAAAGAGACAGGGCGUGAGGGAGAGUGAGGGAGAAAGGAAAUAGAGGAAGAAAGGAGAAGGAAGAAGGGGCACAAGGUGAGGGAGGCGGUCGCCGGCGGUGGCGGCUCCGAUGACCGUCCGGCGGGCAGGCGGAUGAGCUCUUGUUGACGCGGCGGCCUCCGGAUCCAUCGAGCACGCCUCCCGGCGACAGGCGCGAUGGGGCGCCGGUGGACGCCCUGAUUGUGCGCAACCCCGACGCGGUGACUCACCUCCCGUCUCCACUCCCCCGAGGCGCUACUCGCCGACAACCGCCUCCCGGCCCAACGCCGCCGCGACAUCGAUGACUGCCCGCGCGUCUCCUUCACCUACAAGCUUCGACAACGGCAGAUUAGCAGCCCCUGCGGCCGCGAUGACCCUGGAUCUACGGCAACGGCGGCGCCAGCAGCCCGGCCCGGUGCAGGUCGCAGCUAACCCUAGCUGCGCUGGGAGCUCUCCAUCCGCUCGCCUUCCCCUCCGUCUCCGGUGGACAGACGCCUCUUCUUUUGCUCCGCCCUAGCUAUGGUAUAAGCUCCUCAAAACUCUGCCUUCUCUCAUGCGCUCGUAUGCCCACGGCCAUCGACCCGUGGCCAAUCAAUCUUACGCUGGCCAUCGCGCCAUGGCAAGUUCUAGGCAUUUUGGCUUGUGCGGGUGCCCUGUCAUCCAAAGAUUUGUGCUUGUUGUGUCAUGUACGUAUAAUACAGUAGUAAUAAGUGUCACCGUUUAGUGGAUUUAGCCCUCAAUCUCAACAUCAUCGUUUGAUUCACAUGGUUCUUAUACAUGUGCGCAACUUCUGUGCAAGUCAUCCAAGAUGUAUCUUUGCUUCUCUUAAUUUUGUCAGUUACUUUGAUCUCGAUGAGCUGACUGACUGCUCUGUCGGAUGGGUUUAGAUCACUUGUCCGUUUCCAGCAGGACUCACUCUGCUUCUGUGGUAAUCAAAACAUCCAUAUAUAAGUGAUUAUUCACCUAACCCAAUGUUGCUGAUGGCAAUUUUGAUUUGAAGUUAGCAAUGCAAUCAACAGCCAGUUAUUUAUAUUCAGAAAACAAGAAAUGUCAAGCUUGCAAGCAAAGCAAAGUGCCAUUAGCUCUUCACAGUCAUGAUUGCCCAAUUCUGACCUCUGUCAUUUCAAAUAACUGCAUCUGUGGUCCUGACAUAUCAAGUAGACUGGGAUAAAUCUGUGCCCCACCGAUCUUGUUGGGUACCCUCCUAUUAUGAAGAAGCCUAGAAUUUCUAACACAAUUGCACCUCUGUGAUCCGGAGAUGCUGGCAUGUCAAGAUUUUGCUGGGACCACAUUGCGUUCUCUUCUGCCGGCAGAUUAAAUGAUGAAGGCGCUGACGCCUUUCCCCAAUGUCUCGACAAAGUCCGGAAAAAUGGUGGGACACCAUCUAAUGAGGAGCGGCAUGUUAUACCAGGUUUAGAAGCAUCAGGUUCAGAAGGCAGGGGCGCAGAUAACAUCAAUUGACAAGCGUGUUAAAUCAUGGUCUUAUCAACAUGAUGGGUGUCGAGCUCGCGGUGUUGCCAUGCCGGGCGGAGUGGAGGCUGCCGCUUGCAUAGCUGCUUCAUCCGAAGGAUCGCCAUGAGGAUGAUGCCAUCGUCUGGCUGGGCGAGGCGAGGCUGCGAAGGCGGAGGUUGCCGCUCCUGCAGCUGCUUGGCCCUCUCUUCCUUGGCAUCGAGUUCUUCUUCGACCUUGGCCGCACGCCGAGAGAGGAAAGAAGGACACGAUGGAUGUCAACAUGAAGAGGGCAGAGGACGUGCUGAUGCACAAGCGGCUCCUGGAGCUGGCCAAGGAUUCGGUGCAGUGCCAGGCUUUCGCCGUGGGGGCCGUGCAAGUGAGUUGUUUGUCCCUCCUCGCGACACUCGCAAUAAUUUACGAAUGCAAUUCGGCGCUACACUGAUGGAGUCAAAAUUCGGCUGUCUGCAAUUUUAUUAUCUGGUCUGAAUCUGUGAUGAUCGUCCCUGGUUGGCCUCGUUGGGUUGGGGGUUAAGUUUUCUGCAGUUGGGAUUUCCUUUUUAUAAUCGUCUCCAUCCCAUCAGGCAUCAACACUGAAUCUUAGUCAAUGACACUCUUUCUCGGUGGUAACAUGUCUUUCCAUCAUCCAGAAAAAUGGGGGCAUUAUAGUUCUAUUAAACUGGAUUGGUAUUACGUGUAGGAAUUGGUUCAUUUGGACUUAGUAUUACCACUUGCAUAUUUUACGUAGCCAUCUAAUUUUGUGAGUUUUGCUGGUCCGGUAAAGACAAAAUAUCGGUAUAUUUUGGUCCCUAUAGAUACUUUGCUAUUUGAGGACUAAGCAUUGAACCUGUUUUAGUUUCCAGUCCAUGACAUGUAGAUUAGUUAUUUGUUGAGUUACUAGAAACUGUUUAGUCUUUCGGUUUAUUCUCAGUUAUGUUGUCAUGGCUGCGAACGUGAAUUAACAGAGCAAACCUUAAUGAUCAGAUCAAGAGCCACUUCAUUCAUGAGGCUGCUGAGCAAAGGUACUACUGUGUGUCUAUGUACUUGUGGCGCAGUUGCUAAAAAAAUUGCAAGGAUACUAAACACUGCUCCUGAUCUACGAAAGACAACUAGCUUUUCUGCCUAAUCCAUCAGACUAAAGGUUUUACUUCUGUAAAAGUCUGCGCGUUAGUAGUACUUCUACUUCUGUAGUACUCUACAUAGUUAUUUCAUACAAAACCGUCAUAACUUAAUUAAUUGUGACCUAUUGAUAAAGGGGGUGCAACCGGUGAGCAGAUUAUAUAGGUACACGAGCAGAUAAUCUGAAAAAAUAUUUUAAGCUACUAUUUCCUACAUAUUGGAAAUUUGGAAUAUGUCUCCAUCCAUACACCAAAAAAGAAGUUUCCAUGAUACGGUAGCUUUAUCUAUUUUUCCUCCUAUUUAUUCUUUCAGUUUGAAUUGGUGUUCAUUCACCAUCAUUUUUUUAUGCAAAAUCUUUGGUGUGAGCCUAUCAACCGAUAGUACGGCAGCAUUAUCGUAUGUGGAAUGAUAAUGCACCAUAAAGUUCAUUGGAUGCAGACCGGUAGGGUCAAUUACAAACUCUUUGAUGUAAAUGACUUUCAGUUUCUAGCUUUCAUAAAAUUUAGAUAUGUACUGUUUAACAGUGUGUUGUGGUUGAUGGUGGUCCUAAGAACUGAUUGAAUUAUCAUGUUGGAUAGUAUUGCUUUUACUAGCAGUUGCAGUGCUCUUAUUAUUAUAUUUCCACAAAUACCAUCACGUUUUGCUAUUGACGUAAUGUUAUGUUCCUUGACUGAAAUCAAACCCUUUAGUUGCUGUUAUGGUGCUCUUGUUAUUGUUAUAUUCCUUGACAGAAAGCAAACGUUGUUCAUGGCUAACUUAUAGAAUAGCAUAUACAAAGUUCAAAACCAUCAAUUUCAGGAACACUCUGGCCAUGUAUUUGAUUCUGUUGAAGACCCAAUAUAUGAUGAGGUGCUGCAUCUCCUGAUGUUGAGCUAUAUGGACUAUAUGAGCAGAACCACCAUGACAAACAUGCGGGUCAAUAGAAUUCAGAAAGUUAUAGUUUAUUUGCUCUAUACAAUAAUGGCUUCAGUUUCAAUGGAAAUCAUUAACUGGACUCCCAUGUAUUAUUCUGCAAAAAGUAGUAUUGUAGCCUUUUAAUGUUUUCAUUCACAUGCAUGGUCAUAUAUGCUGCUUGGACGAAACAAUUUAUCAACUCCAACUGCAGCUGGUAGGCAUCGUGAUGGACAGGGCGAUCACAGCGGACGGGGCACCAAUGGCGGCUGCUUGCCCCCACCCCAUUGGGAGCCCUCCAUGACGGCGCACGGGAGGAAGCGAUAGGCCCAUGUCGACGAAGGAGGUAGGCAUGAUGUGGGCGACGGUGGCGCAGAGCACUUCAACAAGGGAGACCUGAAAAUGAGGAACGAUAAGGAAGAUUUUUUUAGAGAUCUCGCCUGCUUUAUUGAUUCUCAACAAUGUUCACUGGCACAAGGUUAAUCAUGGGGCAUGCCUAGCCAAAUAUGUCUCCCUACACCUAGAUUACAACCAAAUUUGGCGAGAUUGUGAGCUGAAGAACGAUAAGGAAGAUGAGUUCGUGCGUCAUUCUGUCUA